GGAUCAGACUUUGAUUCUGGCUCAGGAUGAACGCUAGCUACAGGCUUAACACAUGCAAGUCGAGGGGCAGCAUGAACUUAGCUUGCUAAGUUUGAUGGCGACCGGCGCACGGGUGAGUAACACGUAUCCAACCUUCCGUUUACUCAGGGAUAGCCUUUCGAAAGAAAGAUUAAUACCUGAUAGUAUGGUGAGAUUGCAUGAUAGCACCAUUAAAGAUUUAUUGGUAAACGAUGGGGAUGCGUUCCAUUAGGUAGUAGGCGGGGUAACGGCCCACCUAGCCGACGAUGGAUAGGGGUUCUGAGAGGAAGGUCCCCCACAUUGGAACUGAGACACGGUCCAAACUCCUACGGGAGGCAGCAGUGAGGAAUAUUGGUCAAUGGGCGAGAGCCUGAACCAGCCAAGUAGCGUGAAGGAUGAAGGUCCUACGGAUUGUAAACUUCUUUUAUACGGGAAUAAAGUAUCCUACGUGUAGGAUUUUGUAUGUACCGUAUGAAUAAGCAUCGGCUAACUCCGUGCCAGCAGCCGCGGUAAUACGGAGGAUGCGAGCGUUAUCCGGAUUUAUUGGGUUUAAAGGGAGCGCAGACGGGAGAUUAAGUCAGUUGUGAAAGUUUGCGGCUCAACCGUAAAAUUGCAGUUGAUACUGGUUUCCUUGAGUGCAGUUGAGGCAGGCGGAAUUCGUGGUGUAGCGGUGAAAUGCUUAGAUAUCACGAAGAACCCCGAUUGCGAAGGCAGCUUGCUAAACUGUAACUGACGUUCAUGCUCGAAAGUGUGGGUAUCAAACAGGAUUAGAUACCCUGGUAGUCCACACGGUAAACGAUGGAUACUCGCUGUUGGCGAUAUACUGUCAGCGGCCAAGCGAAAGCAUUAAGUAUCCCACCUGGGGAGUACGCCGGCAACGGUGCAACUCAAAUGAAUUGACGG
rnacentral:rRNA from 1 species